GGGCCACCAGUGGCUGUGCGCGGAGGGAACGCCGAGCGGCAGAGAGCAGGCAGAAUGUUCCUGUAAGCCUCUGCCAGUGGAUUAAAGUACCGAGAUUGCUGAAAUACAAGAGGUACUCAUUUUUAAAAAUUAAAAUAAUCAUAUAUCAUAAAAAAAAUCCCAGUGAGUAUAUGAGUCAGUGGCUGCCAUACGUUCCCAACCAUGUCACCAUGAAUUCUAGAACAUUCUCGCUCUCAAAAGAAGCCAGCUCACCCCCUUCCUCUUCUUUAGGUCUCUCCUUCUAUCUUAAAGAUUUGCCUUAUUUUUUCUUUAUUUUCCCUUUAUGUGGAUGCAGGACCCAAGAAGGCAGAAGAGGGUGUUGAGUCCCCUGGGACUCUUAAUUAGAGAUGGCUGUGAGCUACCAUAUGGGCGGUAGGGGUCGAGCACAGGUCCUUUGUAAGAGAAGCAAGUGCUCUUAAUCGCUGAGCCGCCUCUUCAGCCCCAGAAUCUUUCAAGACCUUGUAAUGCCUCAGUGCUAUGAAAAAGAUGCUGAGGGCCAGGGAUGGUGGCGCAUGCCUUUAAUCCCAGACCAGGGAAGCAGAGCAGGUGGAGGAGCCGGAGACCUGUCUGGUCUGCAGAGCAGGUGCCACGUGGUAAGACCCUGGGCUUCCAAAGAAAAGG
rnacentral:lncRNA from 1 species